rnacentral:rRNA from 1 species
AUGGCCCUGUUCGAUCGGAACCAGAGGCAGCGGUCGUCGCUCUUCUCGACGGCGACCGUCGUCGUCUUCGCAGUGCUCUGCCUCGUCGGCUUCUGGAUGGUCUCCCCUCCGUCGCCGGAGGCCGUCCCGGCGGCCACGGUGACGGCGUCCACGGCGGACGUCAAGAAGGCGGCGGAGGCCGUCGUGAAGGAGAAGGAGGAGGACCGCUCCAUCGACGCCACCAACAACUUCAAGCAGGACAGUGCCAACGUCGUCGCGGAGGCCACCACGGCCGCUGUGGAGGCCGAGAAGCCCACCGUGGACGCCAAGGGCGGCGAGGCCGACGGCGAGAAGCCGGCGUCCAAGAACCAGUCGUUCGAUGACGAGAACGGCAGGACGGAGGGCGGGGAGCUCGUGAAGCCGGAAACCGCCGAGACGGACGGCGCCGCCGCUGCCGCUGCCGCCGUGGCUGCUUCCCAGGGGAAGAGCGUGGAGGACACGGUGACAGACGUGAAGGAGCAGGCUUCUACCGACACCAAGGAAAGCGCAGGCAGCGGCGGUCAGGACGCGAACACUGAGAAGUCGCCGGCUGACACCAAGGAGAGCAUCGUCAGCCAGGAGGAAAACCCGAAGGAGGCCGCCGGCGGCGGCUCUUCAAAGAAGCAGACCUUCGACGACGAGAACGGCAAGAUGGAAGGCGUCGACGUGGUGAAGGAUGACGGCAACAAGACGUUCAUCUCAGAGGACAAUGCCAAGCCAAUCAUGGAGGAGACGACCACCGCCGUCACGGACAAGACGGAGGACGCGGCGGCGGCCGUGGUAUCGACCGAAGCCUCCGCCGUCACUAAUCCCGACGAUACGAAGACGUCGGACGUUGUCGAGGAAGAGCAGAAGCUUCUUCCGGAGACUCUGGAGAACGGGCAGGCGGAGCUGCUGAUGGAGCGGGCGGCGCAGAACGGGUCGUUCACGACGCAGGCGGCGGAGUCGACAAACGAGCAGAAGACGCGCGCCGAGAAGAAAAAGAAUAAGAAGAAGAAGAAGAAAGCGGCAAGCAAGGCGGAAGCGGAAGCGGAACCGGAGGCGGCGGUGUCGUUGCCGGCGCACGUCUGGAAGCUGUGCAACACGAGCACAGGCGAGGACUACAUCCCGUGCCUGGACAACGAGGCCGCCAUCAAGAAGCUCAAGACCGACAUUCACUACGAGCACCGGGAGCGGCACUGCCCCGCCCACCCGCCGACGUGCCUCGUCCCGGCGCCGCUGUCCUACAAAGAUCCCAUCCGGUGGCCAGUCAGCCGCAGCAAGAUCUGGUACCACAACGUUCCGCACACGCAGCUGGCGGAAUUCAAGAAGCGUCAGAACUGGGUGAAGGUCUCCGGCGAGUACCUCACGUUCCCCGGCGGAGGCACGCAGUUCAAGACCGGCGGCGCGCUGCACUACAUCGACCUGAUCCAGCAGGCGUUCCCGGAGGUGGCUUGGGGCCGCCGGAGCAGGGUGGUGCUGGACGUGGGGUGCGGCGUGGCCAGCUUCGGCGGGUUCAUGUUCGAGCGGGGCGUGCUGACCAUGUCGUUCGCGCCCAAGGACGAGCACGAGGCGCAGGUGCAGUUCGCGCUGGAGCGCGGCAUCCCGGCCAUCUCCGCCGUCAUGGGCACCAAGCGGCUCCAGUUCCCGAGCAACGUGUUCGACAUAGUCCACUGCGCCCGGUGCCGAGUCCCCUGGCACAUCAACGGCGGAUUGCUCCUCCUGGAGGUGAACCGCCUGGUCCGGCCCGGCGGUUUCUUCGUGUGGUCCGCCACCCCCGUGUACCAGAAGCUCCCCGAGGACGUGGAGAUCUGGGGCGAGAUGGUGAAGCUGACCAAGGCCAUGUGCUGGGAGAUGGUGGCGAAGACCAGGGACACCAUCGACCGGGUGGGCCUCGUCAUCUUCCGGAAGCCGAUGAGCAACCAUUGCUACGAGACACGGCGGCAGACGGAGCCUCCGCUGUGCCACCCGUCCGACGACCCCAACGCGGCGUGGAACAUCUCGCUGCGGGCGUGCAUGCACCGCGUCCCCACCGACCCGUCGGUGCGCGGGUCGCGGUGGCCGCAGCAGUGGCCGGAGCGGGCGGAGAAGGCGCCCUACUGGCUGAACAGCAGCCAGGUGGGCGUGUACGGGAAGGCGGCGCCCGAGGACUUCGCGGCGGACUACGCGCACUGGAAGAAGGUGGUCCAGAACUCGUACCUGGCCGGCAUGGGCAUCGACUGGAAGAGCGUCCGGAACGUGAUGGACAUGCGGGCCGUGUACGGCGGGCUGGCGGCGGCGCUGCGGGACAUGAACGUGUGGGUGAUGAACACGGUGAACAUCGACUCGCCGGACACGCUGCCGGUGAUCUACGAGCGGGGCAUGUUCGGGAUAUACCACGACUGGUGCGAGUCCUUCAGCACCUACCCUCGCUCCUACGACCUCCUCCACGCCGACCACCUCUUCUCCAAGCUCAAGGCCAGGUGUAAGGUGUUGCCGGUGCUGGUGGAGGUGGACCGGAUCCUGAGGCCGAACGGGAAGCUGAUCGUGCGGGACGACAAGGAGACGGUGGACGAGAUCGUGGAGGGGGUGAGGUCGAUGCACUGGGAGGUGAGGAUGACGGUGUCCAAGCGCAAGGAGGCCAUGCUCUGCGCGAGGAAGACCAUGUGGCGGCCCACGGAAAUCGAGCCGGGGCCGCCCACAAGAUAA